AUCUUUCCUGGAGUUGAAACUGCUCUGAGGAAGAGGUCCACAAGUGGUUGAAAGACUUCCAGAGAACAUCAGAUUUGACUUGGAGAAAAAGGGUACUUCUGGCUGAAGUGGACAACAACACAUGUUGUGGUGCAAUAAUGUACUUCAUCCCGAAGAGGUUGAUUCAUUCGCAACGAAGAGAAUCAAGAUCUCCAUAUGAAAGGAGGUUGCCUCUUUCAUGGGCGUUUACGGAAUGGCGACAACCACAGUCUGACAAGUGCUGAGGUGCUGAAGAGGAGAAAUGUGUCAGCGGACACCAUUGAGAAAUUGACAAAGCUGUUUGAAAUAGUCCACUCUCUUUCAUCAGCUCUAAACAUGAUCAAAUAGGAGUUGCAAGUGGAGUAUGGAGACAACCAUGUGCAUGCCUCUGUGGACUCCUCCAUUUGCCCCAGCUUCAAUUCUGCUACAAGUCAGUUGCUUGACACACUUGAUCUGCUGAUUCAUACAGUGUAUUUAAAUGUUAUCACCAGAAAUCAUUUGCUUUAGGUGUGUUCCUCAUUUGUCCAUUACAGAUUAUACCACAAGCUUUUCAAAGAAGCAUGGGUUGCAAUCGUAUGUAGAGAACAAGAUUGAUGAUUCUCAUGAGAAUCUGGAUAACUGCAAUGAAGAAGAAUGUUCACCAGAAUGUUAUGUUUUCGACUGUGGCAACGUGUCUGAGGACACUGUUGUAAUCGAGUGUGCUCCCGUUUCUGAUGUAAACGGCUCAGGUACAUCUGGAAAACCAGCUGAGGGGGCGACGUUAGAGGAAGACUGGAUGGAGAUCUUUGAAGACCUCAAAAAGAAGAUGAGGGAGGAUCUUGUGUGUUUCAGGCCUAAAGUAGCAUCCUUUGUUUCCAGCUUCAAGAAGAUUAAAACAGACAGUGAACUCAUAGCCGCUCUAUCAAACUUUGGCAAAACCAACCCUGGACCAACAGCAAAGUUUCGCCAGGGACACGCACGCCCCGCAAAGAGCUCCAUAGGAGAGUGUGGACAUGGCACAUGCUGCUGGAAGAGGAAGGCACCCAAUUGAAUGUCUGUGUGUGGAAUAGCACAUGGACAUUGGGAGUACUACACAAAAUAAGCAAGUCAACAUCAGUGGCCCCAUGUGCCCAUCAUCCAACUGCUCACCAUCUGUGACCUUCAGUGCACUAGCGCUCUGCCCUCAAACACCCCCCAUCUGCCUACCACCUUUAUGUCAACUCCGCCUUGUACAAAACCAGUGGCUAUUUCAAUGCAUUGUGGCCUCUACAACACUAGAAUCAGUGGCUAUUUCAGUAUUGCAUUCUUGCCUUUUGGUUUUACGUUCAUUCAAUGCAAGACGUUUCUGCAAUUUCAUAUGUUUUGGAAAUUGAUUCCAUGUUUAUGGACCAUCAGACUUUAAAAAGCUGUUCUUCCAACCCAGUUGUAGAUCUACAGGCCUAUACUAUCACUGAACCAAAACAGUAGUUGUCAUGACUUUGCCGAGUCUUAAAUAUAAAAUGCUUAUUUAUAUUUUUUUAUAUACUGGUGUACGCUACCAUUAAAAAGUUUGGGGUCAUUUAGAAAUGUCCUUGUUUUUGAAAGAAAAGCCCCAUUAAAAUAACAUCAAAUUGAUCAGAAAUGCAGUGUAGACAUUGUUUAUGUUAUAAAUGACUUUUUAUUGUUGUUUUUUUAAUAGAAUAUCUACAUAGGCGUACAGGCCCAUUAUCAGCAACCAUCACUCCUGUGUUCCAAUGGCAUGUUGUUUUAGCUAAUCCAAGUUUAUCAUUUUAAAAGGUUCAUUGAUUAUUGCGUCAUCCGAAACAUGACCCGCCAGACCGCACUUCUUAACACCCACCUGCCAGCCACACCAAUGUAUCGGAGGAAACACUGUUCAACUCACUGUUCAACUACCGGGUCAGCCUGCAAGCACCAGGCCUGCCACAAGGAAUCGCUAGAGUGCAAUGAGCUUAGUAAAGCCCCCCCCCCGGCCAAACCCUCCCCUAAUAUGAUCACGGCCGGGUUGUGAUACAGCCUGGGAUCAAACCCGGGUCUGUAGUGACGCCUCUAGCACGGCAAUGCAGUGCCUUAGACUGCGGUGCAACUCGGGAGGCCUUAUAUAUAUAUUAUAUAUGUAUGUGUGUGUGUAUGGUAUGUGGACAUUAGGACUUGGUUAGUAAAUGUAAAAAUGUAGCAUUACAGUAAAUGUGUACAGAAAAUAAGUUGGCACACCUUGAUGUCCUCUACAUUAGACAUUUAUAAACAAGCUCUUAUUUAAUGUGAAGAAAUUAUAAAACUUUUUGAAAACACCCCAAGCUAUUCCUGAGAUACUUCCUUCGUAAAACCUAUUUUAAUUUCAAAC
ensembl:lncRNA